rnacentral:rRNA from 1 species
AUUGAACGCUGGCGGCAGGCCUAACACAUGCAAGUCGAACGGUAACAGGAAGCAGCUUGCUGCUUUGCUGACGAGUGGCGGACGGGUGAGUAAUGUCUGGGAAACUGCCUGAUGGAGGGGGAUAACUACUGGAAACGGUAGCUAAUACCGCAUAACGUCGCAAGACCAAAGAGGGGGACCUUCGGGCCUCUUGCCAUCGGAUGUGCCCAGAUGGGAUUAGCUAGUAGGUGGGGUAACGGUUCACCUAGGCGACGAUCCCUAGCUGGUCUGAGAGGAUGACCAGCCACACUGGAACUGAGACACGGUCCAGACUCCUACGGGAGGCAGCAGUGGGGAAUAUUGCACAAUGGGCGCAAGCCUGAUGCAGCCAUGCCGCGUGUAUGAAGAAGGCCUUCGGGUUGUAAAGUACUUUCAGCGGGGAGGAAGGGAGUAAAGUUAAUACCUUUGCUCAUUGACGUUACCCGCAGAAGAAGCACCGGCUAACUCCGUG